rnacentral:rRNA from 1 species
AUUGAACGCUGGCGGCAUGCUUUACACAUGCAAGUCGAACGGUAACAGGGUGCUUGCACCGCUGACGAGUGGCGAACGGGUGAGUAAUGCGUCGGAACGUGCCGAGUAGUGGGGGAUAACGCAGCGAAAGUUGUGCUAAUACCGCAUACGUACUGAGGUAGAAAGUGGGGGACCUUCGGGCCUCACGCUAUUCGAGCGGCCGACGUCUGAUUAGCUAGUAGGUGAGGUAAAGGCUCACCUAGGCGACGAUCAGUGGCGGGUCUGAGAGGAUGAUCCGCGACACUGGGACUGAGACACGGCCCAGACUCCUACGGGAGACAGCAGUGGGGAAUUUUGGACAAUGGGCGAAAGCCUGAUCCAGCCAUGCCGCGUGUCUGAAGAAGGCCUUCGGGUUGUAAAGGACUUUUGUCAGGGAGGAAAUCCCUAGUGCUAAUAACACUGGGGGAUGACAGUACCUGAAGAAUAAGCACCGGCUAACUACGUGCCAGCCGCCGCCGUAA